rnacentral:lncRNA from 1 species
AGGAUCUACGCUUUAUUAUUUCAAAACCUUGCAGCUUUUGAAAGGUUGGGGUACCAGCAUAGCCUCCAAGGCCAGAAAUUAUCAUGUUUAAAUACGAGUGUCUGGGAGCGCUUUAUGCGCUGUGCUUGCAAGAAUGCCAUUUCAUACGUGGUCCUCGAUACUUGUAGGUAUACAGCAAUAUUUUGGUCUCUCUGGAGGCAGACGCAGUGUGCUCUCCUUGGAGCUGAGCUGACAGAAGUGGCUGUUGGUCUGCAGUGCCCGGUGUCCUAGCAACAGCACGGUCUGCCGCAGCCGCCAUGUUGAGGCCUGAGCCAGGCACUGUGGCAUUGCCACCCUCUGCGGUAGCCCUGGCUGCCAUCCAUCGCCUGCAGAGCCUGGAAAAACAUGUGAAAAAUGAAGACUGUGCAUUCAGUGAGGAAAUCGUGCAGCACCUUGAAGACACUAUUGCUGCUAUUGAGAAAUUGGAAGAAAUGCGAAGGAAUACCAUUGAAUGCCUAGAAGAAGAGACUAUAAAAAACAGCAAGCUUCGCUUCAGAAUGCACAAUUUUCCAGGAGAGAUUGCUGCAGAGAUGGCAGCUCUUGUUGCUGCGUCACGUGAAUCUGGUGCUGCUAAGAUGAAUCAGCUGCAGUCUGCAUUGAAAAACAUUGCUUAUGAAAUUGAAUUAUUGGAUGAGAAACAAACCCUUUGUGAAAGGCAGAAUGCUGCACUGUGUGAGGAACAAAAGCGCCUGCAGACACAGCAUAAAGAAAAAGUGGACUUGCUGAAUGAAAGGAUGGCAACAAAAAUUAACACAAGUGUGCUCUUACUUGAGACUGAUUGUAAAACAAGAGCUACAGAAAAAGAAAUAAUCAGAGCAAAGACAGAGUUAGAAAAACUACAAGAAAAAAUAGCUGAAAAAAUGAGUCAGCUUGAGAAAGAGAUGGAAGAGUGUGAUGGAAAGGUAAAGGUUUUGAAAUGCCCUGAGAAGUUGUGCCAAAUGCUGUGUUUGGGUUUUUGUUUGCAAGUAAUUUAGGUCCCCACAGCAGCCAAGCACAGAAUUGGCUCUUGUAAAUACAUGUGCUCUGUGUGUGUGUGGGGAGGGGGGGGGUUUUCUUAUGUACACAUACAAACACACACACACACACCCCAAAACUGCACAGUUUAUAAAAUCCAUUUUCUACCAGCUCAUCUCAUGCUGUGUCUGUAUUGGUUCUUCUUGCUGCAUGUGGGACAAAUGAUUGUAUGCUGGGAUUGCAUCCCUCCAGACACGCUGCUUAAAAUAAAAGUGCCUGUAUUUACCA